rnacentral:rRNA from 1 species
UACGUAGGGUGCGAGCGUUGUCCGGAAUUAUUGGGCGUAAAGAGCUCGUAGGCGGUUUGUCGCGUCUGCUGUGAAAACUCGGGGCUUAACUCCGGGCCUGCAGUGGGUACGGGCAGACUAGAGUGCGGUAGGGGAGACUGGAAUUCCCGGUGUAGCGGUGAAAUGCGUAGAGAUCCGGAGGAACCCCAGAGGCGAAGGCGGCGCUCUGGCUCGCAACUGACGCUCAGACACGGCAGCAUGGGGAGCGAACGGG